CGCGUUCAACCUCUUCACCGUAUGGAGUUGGGUUGAGUGUCUUGUCAGGAUGCCGGGAUGCAAGGUGUAUUCGUCUUCAGUGACUGAGGUGCUAAUUAUGAGUUGCCGUUGUGCACAGAUAUUUAUCACUGUCGGUGGUAUUCAAAAGUCCAGAAUUUAGACAUUUUAUAACCAUUUAUUUACAAUCUCCAUUUUUUUAAAGGAGAGGCUGGAAGCCUUCUACCUGGUCCCAGUGCCAAGCUCAGACUGUUUCAUCCGUGUCACCAACCAACUGAGCUGUCUGAAGUACUAGUCACUAGCCACAUUGUGGCUAUUUAAAUUAAUUAAAAUCAAGUAAAGUUUAAAAUUUAUUUCUUCAAUCGCACUAGCCACUUUUCAUGUGCUGGACAGUCCAUGUGCCUCGUUGUUACCAUAUCUGGACAGUACGGAUACAGAACAUUUCCAUCAUCAAAGAAAGAUCUAUUGAAAAGUGCUGAUCCAAGACUUUUACUUUCGGGUGGUCAGGCAAUGAAUAUAAAGAGAAGGAGAUCCUUCUAGGCUUUAUGGACUUCAGCUGAUCCCGGGGUUGCUCUAUGUGCAGCCUCCAACAGUUACUGGGCAGCAGAGGAAGCGUGUGUGCAGUGGUUGGGCUCACCGGCCUUGGACUCAGAUGCCGGGGUCUGACUUGAAGCUCUGUCCUGUGCUAGCUCUGCUCCCUCAACCUUGGGACUCUGGGUCCUCACAUGUAAAAUGUGUGUGAUGAUAGUACCUACUUCCUAGGCCUGCUGUGAAAAUACAAUGAGCUAUACCAAGGAAGGUGAUUAGCCCAAUGUGUGGUUCAUGGGCUAAGUGCUCAAGAAAGAUUAAUCUAAAGAGAAAGAAAGAGAAGUGGUGAAUACUGGAAGCCAGUUUGAUCAGUGUUGUGGUCUGGUAUGAAUGUUUGUGUCCUCACAAAAUUCAUAUGUUGAAAUCCUAAUGCCCAAUGUGAUGGCAUUAAGAUUUGCAAGGAGCUUAGGUCAGGAGGAUGAAGCCCUUUUGAAUGGGAUUAAUGUUCUUAUAUAGGAGAACCCACAAGCUACCCAACCCCUUGCACUUUGUGAGGAUACAAAGAGGAGUGUUUGACCUGCAAUGGGGCCCUCACCCGGCCAUGCUUGGCACCCUGAUCUGCAGACUUUUAGCCUCCAGAACUGUGAGAAAUAAAUUUCUGCUGUUUAUAAGCCA